AUGCAGUCGACGGUAGCACAGAGAGCUUGCUCUCGGGUGACGAGUGGCGGACGGGUGAGUAAUGUCUGGGAAACUGCCUGAUGGAGGGGGAUAACUACUGGAAACGGUAGCUAAUACCGCAAAACGUCGCAAGACCAAAGAGGGGGACCUUCGGGCCUCUUGCCAUCUGAUGUGCCCAGAUGGGAUUAGCUAGUAGGUGGGGUAACGGCUCACCUCGGCGACCAUCCGUAACUGGUCUGAGAGGAUGACCAGCCACACUGGAACUGACACACGGUCCAGACUCCUACUGGAGGCAGCAGUGGGGAAUAUUGCACAAAGGGCGCCGCCUGAUGCAGCCAUGCCGCGUGUA
rnacentral:rRNA from 1 species